UGGCUCAGUGGUCAAGAGCAUUGGGUGCUCUUCCAGAAGACCUGGGUUCAAUUCCCAG
rnacentral:tRNA from 1 species